AAGAAGCCUUAAGUAAAUAAAUGUCUGUUCAGUCAGUUCCCCUCGCCUCUGUGGCGAUAGGACCACAGUCUGGCGAGAUGAUACGGUGCACUCUAUGCGACGAGCGGAACACUUGGUGUGGCAAACCGACGCAGGACGGUCAGGGUCUGUCAGACGUACGCGCAGCAGUAGCGCGUUUACCCCGAGGUGCACAGACACAAUUGAAGUGGUGGUGCUCAUGAUGCUUUGUGUAAGAACAAACUCAGAUCUCAAACCACCGGGAAAAUGGUAAGUUUAAUAUUUUAAAGUUAUGAUGAAUUAAAUUAAUAGUGAAGGAAUGUGCACUAUGUUCAAUCUGGUUGGCUAUACAGUUAAAGUUGGAAGUUUACAUACACUUAGGUUGGAGUCAUUGAAACUCGUUUUUCAACCUCCACACAUUUCUUGUUAACAAACUAUAGUAUUGGCAAGUCGGUUUGGACAUCUACUUUGUGCAUGACUCAAGUAAUUUUCCAACAAUUGUUUACAGAUUAUUUAACGUAUAAUUCACUAUCUCAAUUCCAGUGGGUCAGAAGCUUACAAAAACAAAGUUGACUGUGCCUUUUAAACAGCUUGGAAAAUUCCAGAAAAUUAUGCCAUAGCUUUAGAAGCUACUGAUAGGCUAAUUGACAUCAUUUGAGUCAAUUGGAGGUGUACCUGUGGAUGUAUUUCAAGGCCUACCUUCAAGCUCAGUGCUUCUUUGCUUGACAAAAUGCAGACCUCCACAAGUCUGAUUCAUCCUUGGGAGCAAUUUCCAAACUCCUGAAGGUACCACGUUCAUCUGUACAAACAAUAGUACACAAAUAUAAACACCAUGGGACCACGCAGCUGUCAUACCGCUCAGGAAGGAGACGGGUUCGGUCUCCUUGAGAUGAACGUACUUUGGUGUGAAAUGUGCAAAUCAAUCCCAGACCAACAGUAAAUGACUUUGUGAAGAUGCUGGAGGAAACAAGUACAAAAGUAUCUAUAUCCACAGUAAAACGAGUCCUAUAUCGACUUAACCUGAAAGGCCGCUCAGCAAGGAAGAAGCCACUGCUCCAAAACCGCCAUAAAAAAGCCAAACUACGGUCUGAAACUGCAUAUGGGGACAAAGAUGGUACUUUUUGGAGAAAUGUCCUCUGUUCUGAUGUAAAAAAAAAAAGUAGAACUGUUUGGCCAUUGUUCUGUUUGAAGGAAAAAAGGGGAGGCUUACAAGCUCAAGAACACCAUCCCAACUGUGAAGCACGGGGGUGGCAGCAUCAUGUUGUGGGGGUGCUUUGCUGCAGGAGGGACUGGUGUACUUCAAAAUAGAUGGCAUCAUGCAGAAGGAAAAUGAUGUGGAUAUAUUGAAGCAACAUCUCAAGACAUCAGUCAGGAAGUUAAAGUUUGGUUGCAAAUGGGUCUUCCAAAUGGACAAUGACACCAAGCAAUACUUCCAAAGUUGUGGCAAAAUGGCUUAAGGAAAACAAAGUCAAGGUAUUGGAGUGGCCAUCACAAAGCCCUGACAUCAAUCCUAUAGAAAAUUAGUGGGCAGAACUUAAAAAGCAUGUGCGAGCAAGGAGGCCUACAAACCUGACUCAGUUACACCAGCUCUGUCAGGAAGAAUGGGCCAAAAUUCACCCAACAUAUUGUGGGAAGCUUGUGGAAGGCUACCCAAAACAUUUGACCCAAGUUAAACAAUUUAAAGGCAAUGCUACCAAAUACUAAUUGAGUGUAUGUAAACUUCUGAUCCACUGGGAAUGUGAUGAAAGAAAUAAAAGCUGAAAUAAAUCACUACUAUUAUUCUGACAUUUCACAUUCUUAAAAUAAAGUGGUGAUCCUAACUGUCCUAAAACAGGGAUUUUUUACUAGGAUUAAAUGUCAGGAAUUGUGAAAAACUGAGUUGAAAUGUAUUUGGCUAAGGUGUAUGUAAACUUCUGACUUCAACUGUAAAUGCUUUAGCCUAAAUAAAAUGUAUGUUGGCGCUAUUUGCUGUUUUGCAAAAUAAUGCAAUAGAAAUUUAAAUUUAGUUACAACAAUAUAUAUCUGUAGACUUGAAUGUCAUUCUCUCGCAUGUCAUGUUUAGUUCCCAUAUGCUACCACCACCACAUUUGUGGUCUCGUUUCCCCUUCCUUGCUUCCGAGAGCAGUGUGCAGAGGCCAGUGUUGGGGUAGCAGGGGAGUACAUGCGAAGUGGAGGGUGAGAUACAAGCUGGCCAGGUAGCACAGGAAUGCAUUCAACUGGAAAGGGAGAGGGGGCUCUUGGAGAGGAUGCUGAGGAGCCUGAGGUGUGAAAUGCUGAUCAACAAGAAGAGUGUGGAGGGAGGACAAUAAUACCAGCUACUACUGAGACUGGCAGAGACGGAGCAGACCAUUUGCUGGAGUCUGAAAAGAGAACUCACUGAGCUGAAACAGGAGAUGGAGAGCACUCCGAGGAGCACACUACGGGUGAUGACAUCUAACUGCUAGAGGCCAGGUUACUGUAAAAGCCUACGGCAAAUGCUAAUACCCUGGGUCAGUGCAGUAGGCAGCUGUUGGACUGUGCCAGUGAGAACGCUUGUGUUCUGGAGCUUCUACCUCUCUCACUCUCCCGCUCUCUGCAGGGAGACAGGGAACUCCCUCCCAAGGCCUCAUAAAACUACCAGAGCCUUUUGGCCCCUUCACUCCAUGUGUUAUGUCAAUAGCAUACUGUACUAAUGUAACACAGUUUACGGCACUGCAUUGACGUCACCUUGUCCCAUAUAGUGCCUAUUGUGGUUGCACUUUGUUUUGUCAGUGAUUCACCUAGUUUUUGUCUUAAACACUACAUGGUGACAGUGUAGUUACAUAAUAGCCAUUCAUUUAUUUAUUUGAACCAGCAGCUGUAGGCUUAACAUUUGCUUGUUAGUCCCACAAAUUGCCCAUUUCUACUAUACACUCUUAGCGGAUACUAUGCAAAUAUCAUCUGAAACAGGUCUGUAAAAUAAAGAAUUACCCACAUCUUUCCCUUCUCUCAGAAUGUAAGUAGGUUCUGGAGUCUACCACUCUGGCUGUGAACCAAUCACAGCUGCUACGAGAGAACAUCAGGCAGAUGUCAGUGAAGCUCUGGUGAAGAAAAUAGCUGAGACAGUCACUCUGAAGCCUCCAGGCUGGCCAUUUUCUGCUAACAGAGGCAGCUGAACUGCAUUCAUCACAGCCAUGACAGAGCACUGGUCAGUAUGGCCCUGAGUACAGCGGGGAUAUGCUUUCCAGAGAGAAACUGAACAGGCCUAUAGUAAAUGUUUACCACAGACACCCUGGGACCCAGUUACCUGAGGCUGCUCAUCUCAUACAGGGUAGUUCUGUGUUGAGACACUGCCUGCUGUCCUCUAAAGAGGAGCUCGUCAGGCUACAGGGCACAUGUCUGGAGCGGGUGGACAACCUGCACAGCAAGAGGGCCGCAGAGCAGGUGGACUCUUCCGUGGUCAGGCUGCGGCGGCAGCUGGUCGAUAGACGAGCAAUGCCCACUUUCCUCCAACAGGGGUUGUACUAAACUCAUUAUGUAGUGCAUGACUCAAUUCAUCUUUCUUCAUUGUUUCCUCUCUCCUUGGUUCCUUCUCAAAAAUGCAUUGGAGAAGAUCAGAGGGAAGAAAGAUAAGGUUCCUCCCCUCUGAUCUUCUCCUCCAAUGCAUUUUGAGAAGUAGAUGAGGAGAGGAAUCAAGGAAAGAGAAGAGUCCCUAUCUAUAGUUGUAUACAAGCGUAUGUGUGUGUUUUAUCCUGGAUGAAGUGAAAGAGGGACCAAUGUGCUGAAAAGGGACCAUUUAAACAAGAUGAUUAGGAAGGUAUGUUUAACCUAGUCAUGUGUGGCAUCCCAACUCUCAAUUAACCACAUUUCUGCAUUACACCAUUAACGUGUACUUGAAAUAAACAUAAACAGUAUUUCUCUGCAACCUCAGCCCCAUUUGCUUAUUGUAUGAGAGUCCCUUAGAGCAUAAAUGUGCAUGUUUCAUUUGCCUGUACUUGAUCUCCUUGUCAUACUGCCAUUUUGUACAGCUUGGCAUCUAUAAUGCGAAUUGAAUAUGUUCAGCAUAGACUGCAUUAGAAUCACAAACAGUGUACUGUUUAUGUUCAACUUCACCUCUGAAUAA